GAUGAACGCUGGCGGCGAGCCUAAUACAUGCAAGUCGAGCGGACCACUUCGGUGGUCAGCGGCGGACGGGUGAGUAACACGUGGGCAACCUGCCUGUAAGACUGGGAUAACACCGGGAAACCGGUGCUAAUACCGGAUAAUCCUUUCCUUCACAUGAAGGAAAGCUGAAAGACGGUUUCGGCUGUCACUUACAGAUGGGCCCGCGGCGCAUUAGCUAGUUGGUGAGGUAACGGCUCACCAAGGCAACGAUGCGUAGCCGACCUGAGAGGGUGAUCGGCCACACUGGGACUGAGACACGGCCCAGACUCCUACGGGAGGCAGCAGUAGGGAAUCUUCCGCAAUGGACGAAAGUCUGACGGAGCAACGCCGCGUGAGCGAUGAAGGCCUUCGGGUCGUAAAACUCUGUUGUCAGGGAAGAACAAGUACCGGAGUAACUGCCGGUACCUUGACGGUACCUGACCAGAAAGCCACGGCUAACUACGUGCCAGCAGCCGCGGUAA
rnacentral:rRNA from 1 species